AGGGAACAAAUAACUGCUUUAUUACACCAAUGGCCUUUCUGACAAAUCCACAAGGAUUCCCAGUCUCUCUGUGAGUGACAAGCUGGAAUCUUCAAAGAUUUUUGAGAGUUGUCAGAAAUACAAGAUGGUACAAGACUGUUUCCUUUCCAUGUCAGAGCUGGCAUCAAUGUGCAGGCCCCAGACCAAGGAUUUAUGCCAACAAUCAUUUUGAAACAUGAUACUUCUGCAUUUUAGCUUUUGCUGGAUAAUCCUGUAGCUCCUGAUCAAAAAGUCGAACAAUAUCCUUCGUUAAGAGGCUACACUUAACAAAGAGGCUGCUCUCUGACUCAUUCUUUUCAUUCACUGAAUGAUGCACAUUUAACCACAUGAGGUUGAUGUACUCAACCUGACAAGAGCUGACUAGUCUUUAUUGUGCCCCACCCAGAAACUGUAUUUUACCAAGACAUUUGGGUAGCAUUCUAAACAUAAUUUAAACUUAAAUAACCAUUUUAGAUAAAUAAACAAUAGCACUUUAUUUUUUCCACUCUCUUGAUUUUCUUACAUUAACAACAGAUAUGUUUUAACUAAUGAGGAUGUAUGAAUUAUCCUAUGCAUAUUUUCUUUAAAAAAACAAAUGUGCACACUU